GUGCCAGCAGCCGCGGUAAUACGAAGGGGGCGAGCGUUGUUCGGAAUUACUGGGCGUAAAGGGCGCGUAGGCGGCUCAUGAAGUCAGGCGUGAAAGCCCCGGGCUCAACCUGGGAGGUGCGCUUGAUACUCGCGGGCUGGAGUACGGGAGAGGAGAGUGGAAUUCCCAGUGUAGAGGUGAAAUUCGUAGAUAUUGGGAAGAACACCGGUGGCGAAGGCGGCUCUCUGGACCGUAACUGACGCUGAGGCGCGAAAGCGUGGGGAGCAAACAGGAUUAGAUACCCUGGUAGUCC
rnacentral:rRNA from 1 species